GCCUGGGUGGCUCAGUCGGUUGAGCAUCUGACUUCAGCUCAGGUCAUGAUCUCACAGUUUGUGAGUUCAAGCUCUGCAUCGGGCU
rfam:Felis catus isolate Cinnamon breed Abyssinian chromosome B3, whole genome shotgun sequence.